rnacentral:lncRNA from 1 species
ACACCCCAGGGAAGGCUGUGAUCCAGUGUUGAGAUCGACUUCUCCCGGGCUCCUGGCCUGCUCCCCGUACUGGGUUGUCACAUGUGGCCCUUGCAUCUGGGCAGUUGCUUUGGAGACUCCUUGCCCGAUACUGCACGCCUGUGAGCAGGGUUCUGCCCCUGCAAUGUUACAUCCACGCUUAGCAUUCCCAGUCUCCCUUGCUGGUGAGUGCCUGUGCGAGCCAUGUUUAUCCAAACACGGUGAGGGUGAGUGUUCUGGUGCGGGGACGGGGCGGUGCCCCUGUGCAAUUCCACUGUCUGCAUUCCAGGUCACUUUGUCUAUUCAGAUACCACCAACUCUCCUUGCUUGUUUGCUUGCUUUCCAGACCAGCUCUCUGAAGCUCCCUCUUAAUUUUUUCCUGCCUGGCCACGGAGCGGGCAAGAGGACCAUGGUCUUGAACCUCUCUAAAAUGUCCAUGGAGGAAUUCUUAAUUUAAGAAGGAAUGACUCCAUGCCUUUGGGGUUGGAUAGGGAAUAGGAUCUGGGAAAUGAGUGUCCAAAACGAGUUGGGGAGAAGACUUCUUACAACCAGGCCUCCUGUCCUGAGGUGCAGCACCGUCCCUCAGUACCAGAAGAGAGAGGAAAAGGACGAAUAUUAGUUCGAUUAGAAAUAACAUUGGCAGCAGGCUUCCUGUUUAUUACAGGUGCCCCAACAGGCUUUAGGACGAGAGCGCUGGUGUGCAGUCUAACUAC